rnacentral:rRNA from 1 species
GACGAACGCUGGCGGCGUGCUUAACACAUGCAAGUCGAACGGAAAGGCUCCAGCUUGCUGGAGUACUCGAGUGGCGAACGGGUGAGUAACACGUGGGUAAUCUGCCCUGCACUCUGGGAUAAGCCUGGGAAACUGGGUCUAAUACUGGAUGUGACCUUUCUCCUUAUGGGGUUUGGUGGAAAGUUUUUCGGUGUAGGAUGAGCCCGCGGCCUAUCAGCUUGUUGGUGGGGUGAUGGCCUACCAAGGCGACGACGGGUAGCCGGCCUGAGAGGGUGAUCGGCCACAUUGGGACUGAGAUACGGCCCAGACUCCUACGGGAGGCAGCAGUGGGGAAUAUUGCACAAUGGGCGGAAGCCUGAUGCAGCGACGCCGCGUGAGGGAUGACGGCCUUCGGGUUGUAAACCUCUUUCAGCAGGGACGAAGCGUAAGUGACGGUACCUGCAGAAGAAGCACCGGCUAACUAUGUG